GUGACGGCGGCGCGCAGCAAACAGGGGCCGCACGCCAUUUGUCUUUCCUGCCGCUCCUCUCCCUUCAAAAUCAACAGUUUAAAGGUGUCGGCUCGGCUAUGGAGCCAUUUGGGAGAAGAAUGAAGGGGCUCCCUGCCUCUGAAAGCUCUCUGUCUGGGGAACAUGACAGCCAGACCAAAGCUAAGAGGAUCCAGCAGGAGAGACCAGACUCCCCUGGACCUGGACCUGAG